rnacentral:rRNA from 1 species
GGGUGCUAUCAUACCAACACUAAUGCACUGGAUUCCAUAAGAAUUUCAUAGUUAAGCGUGUUUAGGCGAGAGUAGUAUUAGGAUGGGAAGUAUUCGUGUUGCAACCC